rnacentral:rRNA from 1 species
UACGGGGGGGGCAAGCGUUGUUCGGACUUACUGGGCGUAAAGGGCUCGUAGGUGGCCAACUAAGUCAGACGUGAAAUCCCUCAGCUUAACUGGGGAACUGCGUCUGAUACUGGAUGGCUUGAGUUUGGGAGAGGGAUGCGGAAUUCCAGGUGUAGCGGUGAAAUGCGUAGAUAUCUGGAGGAACACCGGUGGCGAAGGCGGCAUCCUGGACCAACACUGACGCUGAGUGAGCGAAAGCCAGGGGAGCAAACGGG